rnacentral:rRNA from 1 species
UACGUAGGGUGCAAGCGUUAAUCGGAAUUACUGGGCGUAAAGCGUGCGUAGACGGUAGCGUAAGUCGGGUGUGAAAGCCCCGGGCUCGACCUGGGAAUUGCAUUCGAGACUGCUCUGCUAGGGUGCGGAAGAGGGGAGCGGAAUUUCCGGUGUAGCGGUGAAAUGCGUAGAUAUCGGAAGGAACACCAGUGGCGAAAGCGGCUCCCUGGUCCAGCACCGACGUUCAGGCGCGAAAGCGUGGGGAGCAAACAGG